CACAUCCUAAAUAAAUAAAUAAAAUAUGUUUUAAAGAAAAUAAUAAUUUUAGAAUAGGUUUCACACAUCAGGGCUCUCUCUGGCUAAGGGGUGCCCACCCUACAGACUGACACCUGCCUCCUUACCCCAGUUAAUCACCUUGGGGGAGAUGAGCCUGAGAGAGUGGUUCAGAUACCAAGUGGGCAAGCUCAGAUGUUCCAGUGGUGAGGACGUGCCUAGGCAGGGACUUGGGGGUGGCCUGAUCCUUCCUCUUGUCCCCACAGAAGGCAAAACAAGGCUGUAAACAUUUCGUCUGCUCUUCAGGUGAGUGCCCAGUUCGUUUUCUUUCCCUUCCUACCCUGUUCUGUGUGUCCUGUGGCCCAGCACCAGGCAUUCUCCCUGGACUCUGGGCUCUGCAACAACACAUCCAUUCGUAGUCGUCCAGAUUUGGGGUUCCAGAAUGAGGCAGAAGUCACUCUGGAGAUGAGCAGCCCCACGUGAGGUCCCAGGCCCUCCUUCCUGAUACACCCUCUCCACUGACAGCGGGCAACGCGGGCAUGGCGACUGCCUAUGCUGCCAGGAGGCUGGGCCUCCCAGCCACUAUUGUUGUGCCAAGCACCACACCUGCCCUCACCAUUGAGCGGCUGAAGAACGAAGGGGCCACAGUUGAAGUGGUGGGAGAGAUGCUGGAUGAGGCCAUCCAACUGGCCAAGGCUCUGGAAAAGA
rnacentral:lncRNA from 1 species